UACGAGGGGGGCAAGCGUUGUUCGGAAUUAUUGGGCGUAAAGGGCGCGUAGGCGGUGCGGUAAGUCACCUGUGAAAACUCUGGGCUCAACUCAGAGCCUGCAGGCUAAACUGCCGUGCUGGAGUGUGGGAGAGGUGCGUGGAAUUCCCGGUGUAGCGGUGAAAUGCGCAGAUAUCAGGAGGAACACCGGUGGCGAAGGCGGUGAUCUGGGCCGACACUGACGCUGUAGAGCGAAAGCGUGGGGAGCGAACAGG
rnacentral:rRNA from 1 species